UAGGGAAUCUUCCGCAAUGGACGAAAGUCUGACGGAGCAACGCCGCGUGAGUGAAGAAGGAUUUCGGUUCGUAAAACUCUGUUGUUAGGGAAGAAAAAAUGUAUAGUAACUAUAUACAAAAGAGACGGUACCUAACCAGAAAGCCACGGCUAACUACGUGCCAGCAGCCGCGGUAAUACGUAGGUGGCAAGCGUUGUCCGGAAUUAUUGGGCGUAAAGCGCGCGCAGGUGGUUUAGAAAGUCUGAUGUGAAAGCCCACGGCUCAACCGUGGAGGGUCAUUGGAAACUAAUAAACUUGAGUGCAGGAGAGAAAAGUGGAAUUCCUAGUGUAGCGGUGAAAUGCGUAGAGGUUAGGAGGAACACCGGUGGCGAAAGCGGCUUUUUGGCCUGCAACUGACACUGAGGCGCGAAAGCGUGGGGAGCAAACAGG
rnacentral:rRNA from 1 species